rnacentral:rRNA from 1 species
ACUCCUGCGGGAGGCAGCAGUGGGGAAUAUUGGACACUGGGCGCAAGCCUGAUCCAGCCAUGCCGCGUGAGUGAUGAAGGCCCUAGGGUUGUAAAGCUCUUUCACCGGUGAAGAUAAUGACGGUAACCGGAGAAGAAGCCCCGGCUAACUUCGUGCCAGCAGCCGCGGUAAUACGAAGGGGGCUAGCGUUGUUCGGAUUUACUGGGCGUAAAGCGCACGUAGGCGGACUAUUAAGUCAGGGGUGAAAUCCCGGGGCUCAACCCCGGAACUGCCUUUGAUACUGGUAGUCUUGAGUUCGAGAGAGGUGAGUGGAAUUCCGAGUGUAGAGGUGAAAUUCGUAGAUAUUCGGAGGAACACCAGUGGCGAAGGCGGCUCACUGGCUCGAUACUGACGCUGAGGUGCGAAAGCGUGGGGAGCAAACAGGAUUAGAUACCCUUGUAGUCCC